rnacentral:rRNA from 1 species
UAUUACCGAAACUGUGGAUGAACCUCUUUAGAGGUUCGUGGUAGGAGAGCGUUCUAAGGGCGGUGAAGUCAGACCGGAAGGACUGGUGGAGCGCUUAGAAGUGAGAAUGCCGGUAUGAGUAGCGAAAGAAGGGUGAGAAUCCCUUCCACCGAAUAUCUAAGGUUUCCUGAGGAAGGCUCGUCCGCUCAGGGUUAGUCGGGACCUAAGCCGAGGCCGAUAGGCGUAGGCGAUGGACAACAGGUAGAGAUUCCUGUACCAGUGCUAAUUGUUUAACCGAUGGGGUGACACAGAAGGAUAGGGAAUCGCACGAAUGGAAAUGUGCGUCCAAGCAGUGAGUGUGAG